rnacentral:rRNA from 1 species
AUUGAACGCUGGCGGCAUGCUUUACACAUGCAAGUCGAACGGCAGCGCGGGCUUCGGCCUGGCGGCGAGUGGCGAACGGGUGAGUAAUACAUCGGAACGUGCCCAGUAGUGGGGGAUAGCUCGGCGAAAGCCGGAUUAAUACCGCAUACGACCUGAGGGUGAAAGCGGGGGAUCUUCGGACCUCGCGCUAUUGGAGCGGCCGAUAGCAGAUUAGCUAGUUGGUGGGGUAAAGGCCUACCAAGGCGACGAUCUGUAGCUGGUCUGAGAGGACGACCAGCCACACUGGGACUGAGACACGGCCCAGACUCCUACGGGAGGCAGCAGUGGGGAAUUUUGGACAAUGGGCGAAAGCCUGAUCCAGCAAUGCCGCGUGUGUGAUGAAGGCCUUCGGGUUGUAAAGCACUUUUGGCGGGAACGAAAAGGACUGUGCCAAUACCACGGUUCGAUGACGGUACCCGCAGAAUAAGCACCGGCUAACUACGUG